AGCGAACGCUGGCGGCAGGCCUAACACAUGCAAGUCGAACAAACUCUUCGGAGUUAGUGGCGGACGGGUGAGUAACACGUGGGAACGUGCCUUUAGGUUCGGAAUAACUCAGGGAAACUUGUGCUAAUAACGAAUGUGCCCUUCGGGGGAAAGAUUUAUCGCCUUUAGAGCGGCCCGCGUCUGAUUAGCUUGUUGGUGGGGUAAUGGCCCACCAAGGCGACGAUCAGUAGCUGGUCUGAGAGGAUGACCAGCCACAUUGGGACUGAGACACGGCCCAAACUCCUACGGGAGGCAGCAGUGGGGAAUCUUGCGCAAUGGGCGAAAGCCUGACGCAGCCAUGCCGCGUGGAUGAUGAAGGUCUUAGGAUUGUAAAAUCCUUUCACCGGUGAAGAUAAUGACUGUAGCCGGAGAAGAAGCCCCGGCUAACUUCGUGCCAGCAGCCGCAGUAAAAC
rnacentral:rRNA from 1 species